rnacentral:rRNA from 1 species
GACGAACGCUGGCGGCGUGCUUAACACAUGCAAGUCGAACGCUGAAGCCCAGCUUGCUGGGUGGAUGAGUGGCGAACGGGUGAGUAACACGUGAGUAACCUGCCCCCUUCUUUGGGAUAACGCCCGGAAACGGGUGCUAAUACUGGAUAUUCACUGGCCUUCGCAUGGGGGUUGGUGGAAAGGUUUUUUCUGGUGGGGGAUGGGCUCGCGGCCUAUCAGCUUGUUGGUGGGGUGAUGGCCUACCAAGGCUUUGACGGGUAGCCGGCCUGAGAGGGUGACCGGUCACAUUGGGACUGAGAUACGGCCCAGACUCCUACGGGAGGCAGCAGUGGGGAAUAUUGCACAAUGGGCGAAAGCCUGAUGCAGCGACGCCGCGUGAGGGAUGACGGCCUUCGGGUUGUAAACCUCUUUCGCUCAUGGUCAAGCCGCAACUGUGGUUGUGGUGAGGGUAGUGGGUAAAGAAGCGCCGGCUAACUACGUGCCAGCAGCCGCGGUAAUACGUAGGGCGCGAGCGUUGUCCGGAAUUAUUGGGCGUAAAGGGCUUGUAGGCGGUUGGUCGCGUCUGCCGUGAAAUCCUCUGGCUUAACUGGGGGCGUGCGGUGGGUACGGGCUGACUUGAGUGCGGUAGGGGAGACUGGAACUCCUGGUGUAGCGGUGGAAUGCGCAGAUAUCAGGAAGAACACCGGUGGCGAAGGCGGGUCUCUGGGCCGUUACUGACGCUGAGGAGCGAAAGCGUGGGGAGCGAACAGG